rnacentral:rRNA from 1 species
ACUCAAAUGAAUAGACGGGGACCCGCACAAGCGGUGGAGCAUGUGGUUUAAUUCGACGGUAAGCGAGGAACCUUACCAGGUUUUGACAUUCUUCUGCAAGCGCACGGAAACGUGUGAUCUUCGAGAGUGAAGAACAGGUGCUGCACGGUUGUCGUCAGCUCGUGUCGUGAGAUGUUCCCUUAAGUGGGAGAACGAGCGCAACCCUCAUAAUAUGUUGAUUUUCAUAUUAGACUGCCAGCGUUUAAGCUGGAGGAAGGCGAGGAUGACGUCAAAUCAGCGUGGCUUUUACAAUCUGGGCUACACACGUGCUACAAUGGAUAGGAACAAUGGGACGCAAUACCGUAAGGUGGAGCAAAUCCUCUCAAAAACUAUCCUCAGUUCGGAUUGAGGGCUGCAACUCGCCCUCAUGAAGCUGGAAUCGCUAGUAACCGCAAAUCAGCCUCGUUGCGGUGAAUACGUUCUCGGGUUUUGCACACACCGCCCGU